rnacentral:rRNA from 1 species
GAACGCAGGCGGCGCCCUUUAAGGGGCAAGUCGAGCUAAUAGAAAAGGAACUUGCUCCUUUGACGUUAGCGGCGGACGGGUGAGUAACACGGGGAUACCCAACCUAUAAGACUGGGAUAACUUCGGGAAACCGGAGCUAAUACCGGAUAAAAUUUAGAACCGCAUGGGUCAAUAGUGAAAGACGGACUUGCUGUCACUUAUAGAUGGAUCCGCGCCGUAUUAGCUAGCUGGUAAGGGAACGGCUUACCCAGGCAACGAUACGUAGCCGACCUGAGAGGGUGAGCGGCCACACUGGAACUGAGACACAGUCCAGACUCCUACGGGAGGCAGUAGUAGGGAAUCUUCCGCAAUGGGCGAAAGCCUGACGGAUCAAUGUCUCGUGAGUGAUGAAGGCCUUCCGAUCGGAAAACUCUGUUAUCAGGGAAGAACAAUCGUGAAAGUAACUGUGCACGUCUUGACGGUACCUGAUCAGAAAGCCACGGUUAACUACGUGCCAGCAGCCGCGGUAAUACGGAGGGGGCGAGCGUUAUCCGGAAUUAUUGGCGUAAAAGCGCGCGUAGGCGGUUUUUUAGUCUGAUGUGAAAGCCCACGGCUCAACCGUGGAGGGUCAUUGGAAACUGGAAAACUUGAGUGCAGAAGAGGAAAGUGGAAUUCCAUGUGUAGCGGUGAAAUGCGCAGAGAUAUGGAGGAACACCAGUGGCGAAGGCGACUUUCUGGUCUGUAACUGACGCUGAUGUGCGAAAGCGUGGGGAUCAAACAGGAUUAGAUACCCUGGUAGUCCACGCCGUAAACGAUGAGUGCUAAGUGUUAGGGGGUUUCCGCCCCUUAGUGCUGCAGCUAACGCAUUAAGCACUCCGCCUGGGGAGUACGACCGCAAGGUUGAAACUCAAAGGAAUUGACGGGGACCCGCACAAGCGGUGGAGCAUGUGGUUUAAUUCGAAGCAACGCGAAGAACCUUACCAAAUCUUGACAUCCUUUGACCACUCUAGAGAUAGAGUUUUCCCCUUCGGGGGACAAAGUGACAGGUGGUGCAUGGUUGUCGUCAGCUCGUGUCGUGAGAUGUUGGGUUAAGUCCCGCAACGAGCGCAACCCUUAAGCUUAGUUGCCAUCAUUAAGUUGGGCACUCUAAGUUGACUGCCGGUGACAAACCGGAGGAAGGUGGGGAUGACGUCAAAUCAUCAUGCCCCUUAUGAUUUGGGCUACACACGUGCUACAAUGGACAAUACAAAGGGCAGCUAAACCGCGAGGUCAAGCAAAUCCCAUAAAGUUGUUCUCAGUUCGGAUUGUAGUCUGCAACUCGACUACAUGAAGCUGGAAUCGCUAGUAAUCGUAGAUCAGCAUGCUACGGUGAAUACGUUCCCGGGUCU